rnacentral:rRNA from 1 species
GGUUAAGCGACUAAGCGUACACGGUGGAUGCCCUGGCAGUCAGAGGCGAUGAAGGACGUGCUAAUCUGCGAUAAGCGUCGGUAAGGUGAUAUGAACCGUUAUAACCGGCGAUUUCCGAAUGGGGAAACCCAGUGUGAUUCGUCACACUAUCAUUAACUGAAUCCAUAGGUUAAUGAGGCGAACCGGGGGAACUGAAACAUCUAAGUACCCCGAGGAAAAGAAAUCAACCGAGAUUCCCCCAGUAGCGGCGAGCGAACGGGGAGCAGCCCAGAGCCUGAAUCAGUGUGUGUGUUAGUGGAAGCGUCUGGAAAGGCGUGCGAUACAGGGUGACAGCCCCGUACACAAAAAUGCACAUACUGUGAGCUCGAUGAGUAGGGCGGGACACGUGGUAUCCUGUCUGAAUAUGGGGGGACCAUCCUCCAAGGCUAAAUACUCCUGACUGACCGAUAGUGAACCAGUACCGUGAGGGAAAGGCGAAAAGAACCCCGGCGAGGGGAGUGAAAAAGAACCUGAAACCGUGUACGUACAAGCAGUGGGAGCACGCUUAGGCGUGUGACUGCGUACCUUUUGUAUAAUGGGUCAGCGACUUAUAUUCUGUAGCAAGGUUAACCGAAUAGGGGAGCCGAAGGGAAACCGAGUCUUAACUGGGCGUUAAGUUGCAGGGUAUAGACCCGAAACCCGGUGAUCUAGCCAUGGGCAGGUUGAAGGUUGGGUAACACUAACUGGAGGACCGAACCGACUAAUGUUGAAAAAUUAGCGGAUGACUUGUGGCUGGGGGUGAAAGGCCAAUCAAACCGGGAGAUAGCUGGUUCUCCCCGAAAGCUAUUUAGGUAGCGCCUCGUGAAUUCAUCUCCGGGGGUAGAGCACUGUUUCGGCAAGGGGGUCAUCCCGACUUACCAACCCGAUGCAAACUGCGAAUACCGGAGAAUGUUAUCACGGGAGACACACGGCGGGUGCUAACGUCCGUCGUGAAGAGGGAAACAACCCAGACCGCCAGCUAAGGUCCCAAAGUCAUGGUUAAGUGGGAAACGAUGUGGGAAGGCCCAGACAGCCAGGAUGUUGGCUUAGAAGCAGCCAUCAUUUAAAGAAAGCGUAAUAGCUCACUGGUCGAGUCGGCCUGCGCGGAAGAUGUAACGGGGCUAAACCAUGCACCGAAGCUGCGGCAGCGACGCUUAUGCGUUGUUGGGUAGGGGAGCGUUCUGUAAGCCUGUGAAGGUGUGCUGUGAGGUAUGCUGGAGGUAUCAGAAGUGCGAAUGCUGACAUAAGUAACGAUAAAGCGGGUGAAAAGCCCGCUCGCCGGAAGACCAAGGGUUCCUGUCCAACGUUAAUCGGGGCAGGGUGAGUCGACCCCUAAGGCGAGGCCGAAAGGCGUAGUCGAUGGGAAACAGGUUAAUAUUCCUGUACUUGGUGUUACUGCGAAGGGGGGACGGAGAAGGCUAUGUUGGCCGGGCGACGGUUGUCCCGGUUUAAGCGUGUAGGCUGGUUUUCCAGGCAAAUCCGGAAAAUCAAGGCCGAGGCGUGAUGACGAGGCACUACGGUGCUGAAGCAACAAAUGCCCUGCUUCCAGGAAAAGCCUCUAAGCAUCAGGUAACAUCAAAUCGUACCCCAAACCGACACAGGUGGUCAGGUAGAGAAUACCAAGGCGCUUGAGAGAACUCGGGUGAAGGAACUAGGCAAAAUGGUGCCGUAACUUCGGGAGAAGGCACGCUGAUACGUAGGUGAAGCGACUUGCUCGUGGAGCUGAAAUCAGUCGAAGAUACCAGCUGGCUGCAACUGUUUAUUAAAAACACAGCACUGUGCAAACACGAAAGUGGACGUAUACGGUGUGACGCCUGCCCGGUGCCGGAAGGUUAAUUGAUGGGGUUAGCGCAAGCGAAGCUCUUGAUCGAAGCCCCGGUAAACGGCGGCCGUAACUAUAACGGUCCUAAGGUAGCGAAAUUCCUUGUCGGGUAAGUUCCGACCUGCACGAAUGGCGUAAUGAUGGCCAGGCUGUCUCCACCCGAGACUCAGUGAAAUUGAACUCGCUGUGAAGAUGCAGUGUACCCGCGGCAAGACGGAAAGACCCCGUGAACCUUUACUAUAGCUUGACACUGAACAUUGAGCCUUGAUGUGUAGGAUAGGUGGGAGGCUUUGAAGUGUGGACGCCAGUCUGCAUGGAGCCGACCUUGAAAUACCACCCUUUAAUGUUUGAUGUUCUAACGUGGACCCGUGAUCCGGGUUGCGGACAGUGUCUGGUGGGUAGUUUGACUGGGGCGGUCUCCUCCUAAAGAGUAACGGAGGAGCACGAAGGUUGGCUAAUCCUGGUCGGACAUCAGGAGGUUAGUGCAAUGGCAUAAGCCAGCUUGACUGCGAGCGUGACGGCGCGAGCAGGUGCGAAAGCAGGUCAUAGUGAUCCGGUGGUUCUGAAUGGAAGGGCCAUCGCUCAACGGAUAAAAGGUACUCCGGGGAUAACAGGCUGAUACCGCCCAAGAGUUCAUAUCGACGGCGGUGUUUGGCACCUCGAUGUCGGCUCAUCACAUCCUGGGGCUGAAGUAGGUCCCAAGGGUAUGGCUGUUCGCCAUUUAAAGUGGUACGCGAGCUGGGUUUAGAACGUCGUGAGACAGUUCGGUCCCUAUCUGCCGUGGGCGCUGGAGAACUGAGGGGGGCUGCUCCUAGUACGAGAGGACCGGAGUGGACGCAUCACUGGUGUUCGGGUUGUCAUGCCAAUGGCACUGCCCGGUAGCUAAAUGCGGAAGAGAUAAGUGCUGAAAGCAUCUAAGCACGAAACUUGCCCCGAGAUGAGUUCUCCCUGACCCUUUAAGGGUCCUGAAGGAACGUUGA